GGGGGGGGUCACAAGUCCACAAAACCUUUGACACAAUUAAAAGUUCAUCAUAUUUUGAUGCGUUCUCUGUGACAUAAAUAAAGGUUCAUCACAUUUUGAUGCGUUGAACUCCAAAAUGCCCUGACAAUGAAUAGUAAAUAAUUAGGCUAUCGUAAUUUCAAGGUGCCUCUUUGGAAGUCAGCAAUAUUAUUUUUGCCGAGGGAGGGCGCCAUCACGGGAAAUAUUUAUGUGAUUCCGUGAUUCUGUUGAGAUGUCAAACCGUCACGCUUGGAAUUGACCAUAUGUUGUGUUUUUUGUACGCAUAACUGUAAUAACUUUCUUCCUCGGUCGAAUCUUUGUAGUACUGAUUUCAUUUUCAAUUUUUGUUUUUGUAAAUCUUAAAAUUGAAAUUUACCUAUCGUAUGUAAGUGUUCUUUUUUUCCCUUUUUUUUUUGUACUUUGUAUUUUGUAUUUUGUAUUUAUCAUUAUUCUGCUUGGGUCUAAUUUCAUCCUAUGUAUUAACUUUACUUCUCAACUUGCCUUUCUCUCAUUCAAUUUUCCUUCCUCUUCCUCUCUCUCUCUCUCUCUCUCUCUCUCUAUCUCUAUCGCCCUCUCGUGUUCUCUAUGAUCCAGCUGUAGCUGUAUAUGUAUUCUCUCCCUCCUGUUGUUGUACAUGCAACAGUAUACAAUGCAAUUUAUACUGAUGGGGUCGAAUUCACAAGAUCUUUAACUAGAUCGUUAAUCUGAUCCCCACUCAAUUUAUGUUACUUGUGAUGUCAACUACUGAUUUUACUAUGUCCAUCUUUUUAUAUUUGUUAUACAUGUCUGCGUUUAUUCGCAAUUCUAUGUAUCUGUUUUUAUAUUGAGUGAAUAAAUGAUUUGAAUUUGAAUUUGA